GUAGAUAUAGUUUAACAAAAAUAUUAGAUUGUGAUUCUGAAGACAGAGGUUGAAACCCUCUUAUCCACC
rnacentral:tRNA from 1 species